rnacentral:rRNA from 1 species
AUGUGGGAUAUAAAAACAUAUCUCUCUGUAGCACCCAUGCUAAGUACUCUAUGGUUUGGUGCUUUAGCAGGUUUAUUGAUAGAAAUUAAUCGUUUAUUCCCAGAUGCUUUGUCAUUCCCUUUUUUAAUUCUAGUUAUUGCUAUGGGAGGGAUAGAUUUCUUCGUAAUAUGA